rnacentral:lncRNA from 10 species
AUCUUGAAAACGGAAAAUAAAAACAGCAGACCUAUGAAGGUCGAAGGGGAAGAAAAGCUGUAUCGAUUGUUGAGAUCUGGCGACUUGUUUAAAUUUCAUCAGCCUCACUUCUAUGAACUCUCAGAGCUGAUUACCAACUCCUACCACUGUUAACCCUCAUCCAGGAACAAGCUUAUGUCUUUAACAUUCUGAGUGGGCUUCAGCAUCCUUGCAUAUGUUCAAUUCUUAAAAACCUGUUGAAAUAAAAGAUCAGGAGACAUAGGAAGGAUGCCAGAAGAGAGCGUGGCCUCACGUGUACCAGCUCUCUGCUCUCCUUUGCCUUGGGACGUUCCAUCCCUGGAAGUUUCCCUGCCCACAUCUUUGUAGAGAGUCCAUUCUCCAAGCUUCAGUGUGUCAUCUGUGAGGACCGUGACCCACCUGGUACAUCGCCUCAGGGCAUUCAUUUCAGGCUCCUUCUAAAUGGCCAAGGAUCUUGGAAGCAGAGGGAUCUGCAGAAGUGCUUGCAACACUUUCAGCCUUAACCAGCAUCAGAGACAAAAAUCCUUUCUGGAAUGAGGUAAACCUCAGGUUCUCCUCCUGCCUUUUGCUAAGUAUAUGUCUUGAUGACAAGCCUUCUGCUGAUGAGCUGUGUUUCUGGACCGAUCAUGGUAGAAGUCAAUUAACGUGUCCCUCACUUGGGGUUUCUCAAGGCUGCACUGAUGAGGAAACUGAAACAGAAAAUCCAGAGUAAAUUCCACCAGGCCACACAGCAAGGUCUGAUAGAGCCAGGAGAGACUUUAUGAAAUCCAGACUCUCACACUAAUGCUCUAUCAGCUAGA